rnacentral:rRNA from 1 species
UUAAGUUAGAAAGGGCGCACGGUGGAUGCCUUGACACUAGGAGUCGAUGAAGGACGGGACUAACGCCGAUAUGCUUCGGGGAGCUGUAAGUAAGCUUUGAUCCGAAGAUUUCCGAAUGGGGAAACCCACCAUACGUAAUGGUAUGGUAUCCUUAUCUGAAUACAUAGGGUAAGGAAGACAGACCCAGGGAACUGAAACAUCUAAGUACCUGGAGGAAGAGAAAGCAAAUGCGAUUUCCUGAGUAGCGGCGAGCGAAACGGAACAUAGCCCAAACCAAGAGGCUUGCCUCUUGGGGUUGUAGGACAUUCUAUACGGAGUUACAAAGGAACGAGGUAGACGAAGCGACCUGGAAAGGUCCGUCGUAGAGGGUAACAACCCCGUAGUCGAAACUUCGUUCUCUCUUGAAUGUAUCCUGAGUACGGCGGAACACGUGAAAUUCCGUCGGAAUCUGGGAGGACCAUCUCCCAAGGCUAAAUACUCCCUAGUGAUCGAUAGUGAACCAGUACCGUGAGGGAAAGGUGAAAAGCACCCCGGAAGGGGAGUGAAAGAGAUCCUGAAACCGUGUGCCUACAAAUAGUCAGAGCCCGUUAAUGGGUGAUGGCGUGCCUUUUGUAGAAUGAACCGGCGAGUUACGAUCCCGUGCGAGGUUAAGCUGAAGAGGCGGAGCCGCAGCGAAAGCGAGUCUGAAUAGGGCGUUUAGUACGUGGUCGUAGACCCGAAACCAGGUGAUCUACCCAUGUCCAGGGUGAAGUUCAGGUAACACUGAAUGGAGGCCCGAACCCACGCACGUUGAAAAGUGCGGGGAUGAGGUGUGGGUAGCGGAGAAAUUCCAAUCGAACCUGGAGAUAGCUGGUUCUCCCCGAAAUAGCUUUAGGGCUAGCCUUAAGUGUAAGAGUCUUGGAGGUAGAGCACUGAUUGGACUAGGGGUCCUCAUCGGAUUACCGAAUUCAGUCAAACUCCGAAUGCCAAUGACUUAUCCUUAGGAGUCAGACUGCGAGUGAUAAGAUCCGUAGUCAAAAGGGAAACAGCCCAGACCGCCAGCUAAGGUCCCAAAGUGUGUAUUAAGUGGAAAAGGAUGUGGAGUUGCUUAGACAACUAGGAUGUUGGCUUAGAAGCAGCCACCAUUUAAAGAGUGCGUAAUAGCUCACUAGUCGAGUGACUCUGCGCCGAAAAUGUACCGGGGCUAAAUACACCACCGAAGCUGCGGAUUGAUACCAAUGGUAUCAGUGGUAGGGGAGCGUUCUAAGGACAGUGAAGUCAGACCGUAAGGACUGGUGGAGUGCUUAGAAGUGAGAAUGCCGGUAUGAGUAGCGAAAGACGGGUGAGAAUCCCGUCCACCGAAUGCCUAAGGUUUCCUGAGGAAGGCUCGUCCGCUCAGGGUUAGUCAGGACCUAAGCCGAGGCCGACAGGCGUAGGCGAUGGACAACAGGUUGAUAUUCCUGUACCACCUCUUUAUCGUUUGAGCAAUGGAGGGACGCAGAAGGAUAGAAGAAGCGUGCGAUUGGUUGUGCACGUCCAAGCAGUUAGGCUGAUAAGUAGGCAAAUCCGCUUAUCGUGAAGGCUGAGCUGUGAUGGGGAAGCUCCUUAUGGAGCGAAGUCUUUGAUUCCCCGCUGCCAAGAAAAGCUUCUAGCGAGAUAAAAGGUGCCUGUACCGCAAACCGACACAGGUAGGCGAGGAGAGAAUCCUAAGGUGUGCGAGAGAACUCUGGUUAAGGAACUCGGCAAAAUGACCCCGUAACUUCGGGAGAAGGGGUGCUUUCUUAACGGAAAGCCGCAGUGAAUAGGCCCAAGCGACUGUUUAGCAAAAACACAGCUCUCUGCGAAGCCGUAAGGCGAAGUAUAGGGGGUGACACCUGCCCGGUGCUGGAAGGUUAAGGAGAGGGGUUAGCGUAAGCGAAGCUCUGAACUGAAGCCCCAGUAAACGGCGGCCGUAACUAUAACGGUCCUAAGGUAGCGAAAUUCCUUGUCGGGUAAGUUCCG